GAUCCAACUGUAAGAUUCUGCUUCGAUUAUGCCGUAAGUUUUCAGAGAAAUAAAGCAAGCUUCAUGCAACCAAAUUCAUAUUUUUUCUACAAAUAUAAUAGAGUCUAUGGAGCUUUCAAAAUCCUGCGUUCAAGCACGCAACUGGUUUGACUUCGCCAAUUACACAAAAUGAAGUGAUAAAAAACAGAGUGCUGGUAGAAGAAUGAUAGAAGAUGGUAAUGGUAGAAGAUGGUAGAAUGAUGGUAGAGUGAUGGUAGAAGAAGAAACAGAGUGAUAAAAAACAGAGUGAUGGUAGAAGAAAUUGUACCCAUGAGUUCUAAAUCAAUACCUUUCAAGGAAAAUUUCACAAAAACAUGUUUUGUAAUGUCAUCAAACUAAAUACAGAAAUUAAAAUACUGUGCUGCAUAAUAAUCACAGCAAAUUUUCCUACUGAAGCAAAUAAGUGUCCCCAGGGCUGUAAAUCUGGAGGGGCAGAGGGACUGGAUCUCCCUUUAGUAAAAAAUUUGAGCAAAUGAUUUUGUGUGAGACAUUUUCCCUGUAUUCUUCGAAAGAAACGGAAUCCUUCGUACCUGGUUUGUCACUACAAUGUUUACCCACUGAUGGUCUUAAGCUUCAGUUAACUAAAAGCUCUGGAAUGGUUCAUUUCCAUUAAUGAAGCUCUUGGAAAAUUAUCUGAGAGCUUCAUAAAGAAACACUCAAUUAGCUCACCCAAUGGUUUGUUCCAUCUAUGCGGAAAUCAUAUUGGCAAUUUAGCUUCAUGAACUAGCUUAUUGUGUAUCUUACAGACAAAGACAAGAGCAUACAUGUCUUUAGGGAGUUUUCGUUGAAGACUUUUUUAACUGGUGUGAGAAAAUGCAAUAAUUCAGAUUUUGGUCAAAUUUCAGUUAAGGGAUGUUUAUUUCUUAGUGACCUGCUGAAAGUUUAGGUUCUCUGCACACUGCAAUGCAAUUAAUGUUAAAAUACUGUUGCAAAACCUUUUCCUUUUAAUUUUAUUAAACAGUGACCAGGCAGAAGGGGCAAAUUGCCCCAAAUAUCUUGUAUACCCCUUAAGUAAAUCUUAAUAAAUCCUAAUAAGUUUCAGUUUAUAAUUUUAAAAUUCUGCUACAUACAAUAUCAAUCUUUAAGAAAAAAAUUAUAUUAGCCAUCUUAACAAAUCCACUGUAAAACAUCUAAAAUAUAACUUUUUUGUCUAUAAAAUCAUAAAAAUACCAAGGACCAUUCCAUAAAGCUGAAAAAUUUCUAAUAAAUCUUUAAAUCUUGUAUAAUGGUUUUUCAAGUGGUUUUCUCUUCAACUGUGGCCCUUAUCACCUGCCAUAAAUUGUUUUGUGGAGCUAUUUACCUCUAUAUUUGUUUGCUCUGCUGAGAACCCCCCCCCUCCACUCGCAGCCAAUUGGUUAGAUUUAUGGCCUUGUGUGUCCCUUGCACCCUUGACAAUCAAGAGCUGUCUCUUGCCCCCUUUAUUAAUACUUGAUACACCUGAAAUAUGCUAAUGAGUGAUUGCAUCUUGGAACAGGAACAUCCUUGUUACAGAAAAGGGCAAUUUCAUUUGAACACUUUACUGCACCUUCUACACCCAUCUUUUCAGACUUGAAGAUUCUAAAACUACAAGAUCUCUUUCACCUGAAAUUGCUUAGUUUUGUAUAUGAAUGUGUAAAUAAAAUCUCUCCUUCUUGUUUUCACUUUUUUUCUUUAAGUUAGUUGAGUCUGUUCAUCAAUAUCAGGGGCGGAUCCAGUAGGGUGCGAGGGGUGCUCAAGCACCCCUCAGAUUUCGCAGGCUUUUUUUAAUAGCAAUUGAAGGCACAAUCUCUUCAAUUCUGAGUACUACGCACAACAACCUGAAAUUCUAGCAUCCGCUUUAGUGCCCCGUCUCACAAGUGUUUAGCGCUAUUUUUUCGUUUGAAGAAUUGAAAUGCUAUUAAACUCCCCCUGGUUUCGCUAUAUAGCAUUCUACAGACUCGGAAACCAUUGUCUCCUCUAUAACCCAGCCAUUCGAGGCACCCGUGGCCUGUAAAUUAUACCAGUUUCUGCACCCGUGGAAGUGAAUUUAGCCAAUCACUGUGCCAGAUCGAGGGGUUCUCAACAUUGGCGCGAGAACCCAUGGAUUUCAAAAAUCUAAAAUAUCAAAGAAUACCGACUUAACCAGGGGGAGUUUCUUCCCUGUUAACUACAGUCAAAUGUAUUGUGGAAUUUGACCAGGGGGAGUUGGCAUUGACCAGGGGGAGUUGAAUUAUGAUAUCACCUUAAACAGGGGGACUGAUUAGCUAAAAUUUUAGGCAAAGCUAUGGAAAGUUCCACAAAUGGCUAGGUGUAGCGCAAAUUUACAAGAUAUGUUUUCGAAGUCCUUUCUGGCGAUUUAAGAGGCCAUUGAAUAUGACAACUGACAAUUAUCCAAAAUCGCUACUAAGACAGCUGAAGUAUAACAUCGACAGUGGAUUAAUUGGUAGUAGGGUAAAAAGAGAUACGCUUGAAGAUAUCAAGCGGGUAUUUCAACGUGAAAUAGAUGUUAGACGUUGGAAAAUUUACAAUGAGUCCAGGAAAGAAAGAACACUAUGUACGGCUUCUUUGCUACAGUUUCCAAAAAGCGAGAACUGCAGAGCUGGAGAUCGUGUACCCAUCAGGUAAGAGAUAAGGUCUUUAAAGUUGUUUACUUCAAAUUUUUUCAAAAAACAACAAAAUCUACAAGAAAACACGUAUUUUUUAUAAAAAACUAAGAUCCGGUGCUGGUAGGCAUUUUCUUAAAUUUUCUGGCCAUUUUGUUAUCAGAAGUUUCUUAGAUGUUUCUUAAAUUUCUUUGGUACCUAAUGAAUUUUUAAACGUGCUUCCAAGUAAAGUAAAUAGUUCACUCACAUUCAGAGAUAAAUUACUUGAGUGUGCAGUUUACUGAGAAUGAAUGCAAACUGUCUGUCAAUUGUAGUGUUGCAAUAUACAGUGAUGUUCAAUGAUAAGACUGUUUCGAAUGUUAACUCGGAAAAUUAAAACUGCAAAUUAUAAAAGUUUCUUAGCUUUUUUCAAUUUGGGUAGGGUUGUUUCUUAACUUCCUUAACCUACCGUUUCUUAUAACCUGUUUCUUUUAAAAAAAUGAGUGUAACUAGGUUUUUCUCAUCUUGUACUUAUUAGUCUUUACUAGUACGCUACUAAUUAGUUAGCCUGACUUUCAGACUCCAAACUAAAAGUCUGGAACUCAGGCUACUAAUUUGUAUGUUAGUGGGUGUCGAUAAUUUGUAGGUUUUUUCUCAUCUUGUACCAGAGUUGCCAUUUGGGAUUAUUCAAUCCAAGAUUUCACGAAACUGGGACUGUGGAAAAGCUGUUGGGAUCAGAAAUUGUAAUCUGGGAUUCAGAGUAAAAAUUGGAAUUCUUUGGGAUUAUCCGGCAAGAAUGGACAACUUGUUAUAAUUGGUUCAUGGAUUGUUCAAAUUGACUAUUAUGUAACCCCUCAACACUGCUAUAAGAACAAUGUAUAGUGAGCCACAAAUAAGAAGAACGAUUGACUUGAAUUUGAAAUUUUGUGUGAUUUGUAGUGACUCUACUUAGGUCUGUUUUUGUUGAUUUCCCCUUUUCAUCCAUUCCAUCACAUUCUCACAUCGCAGCCAGUCGCAGCUCAGGCAUCUCUACAUCACUCUCAUAUUGCACAUUCCCUAUUGUUUACUUUUUCUUUACCACACACACUAACACACUAUUCAAUUUACUCAUAACCUUUACUCGCCCUUCCUAUGUUUUGUUUUUCUCACAUAAUUAUGUGGCGCGAGAAAAAAGCGUUAAUUGCCAAUCAUUUCCGUUUUUCAGAGUUCGUUUUCCAAACUGUUACAUACACUGACUGAAAAUUUGAAAGUGCUGUGUUCUGGUUCAUCGUACUUCAUACACAAUGCCUCAAAGCUGAAGCCUUCAUACUUAUAUCCCGUGUAUUUUUAUGCUCAAUCUUUGGCAACUAACUCGACUAUUUAUGUCGAAUUAAGCAACCGCAUCAUUGAAAAAAUCGUAAUUCAUUGCGCAGGAAAUAUAGAAGGCAUGGCUGCAGAGAAAAAUCUGUCCCUUUCUAUUACCUCUGCGGAGGAAUCUACUUUUGCACUUGGCGACCAUGUCUUUUCAAUUUUUUUGAACUAUUUGCCUUUGUCUAGGAAUAGCUGAAAGUAUUCUAUGGAUAUCUGUGUUAUUGAAUCUUAAGUUACAACUACUGAUAAGUAAGCUACUGAUUGAAGUGUAGCAAGAAAGUUAAUAAACUUUUAAAUUUUUUUUGAACUUUUACAUAAAUUCUUAAAUUGAGUCAUUCUGGCAUCUCAGGUUACAGCAGGCUUAAAUUAUCUUUAUGGCAUAUUAACAGGGGUACGAUGUUUGUCAAUAGCAGCGCCCUUAGUUAUGAAACUUUCUGUAUGAGCACCCCUCAGAAUAAUUGCUGGAUCCGCUCCUGAAUAUGGUACUCGGCAAGUCAUCAAAAAUAAUAUUUUCUUAACCCAAAAAAUACCCUGCAAUAGGGUCUUAGGUCAGUGCGUUAUUGUGGAGCUAAUUACUGGAAUGACACUCCUGUGAAAAAAAAAAUCCCCAUCUGUUAAUAGUUUUCGACAAAAAAUCCAAGCUUUCCUAUUUGAAACUAAGUACUAAAUUUUGGAAAAGUGGAUAUCAAAAAUGUCACCAUCUGCCCAUCAAGUAGUUUUGUCAACAUCAUAAUGUCAAUUAAAUAAAUCAAUUUUAUAUGAGAUACUUUUAUAAUAGGGGGUGUUCUCUCCUCGAUUAGUCUAACUACUGAGAGAGCUCCUCCUGUAAGUAAUUCCCUCCAUACAAUCUAUCUUGUGUCUAUGUUUUGUAUUGGUAUAUUGUAUUAAUUUCUUGUAUUUUAGAUGUAUGCUUGUCUUGUUAUUGAUGCAUUGUAUGUAGUGGAAUUUAAUAAAUGAAACGGAACUGAACUGAACUGAUCCUCAAAGGGAAGGAUUUGCCACCAGGUGUAGGGGUUGUGCUUUGCAAUAGAAAUACUUGUGUCCUUCUGUAACUUUUGCUGUGAUUCAGCAAAAAUAAUUUUGUUGUUAAUCAAUAGUAAUAAUAUGAUGCAAAAAAUUUACUUUUUUAUGUUAUAAUCGAAUUUGCCUCAAAGUAAGAAAUUGAAUUUUGAAAAUCGGUGUUUCUGUGAUUUUUAAAUCACCUGAAGGGUGUGACACAAAAAUCCAAUCAUUAGCCAGCCUCCUUCACCUCCUUCAGUUUUAGACUUAGGCUUAAAGUUUCUUGUAAAAGAAGAAAUUUUAACAAAACAUUUAGGGUAGUACUUUUGAUUAAGGUUCUUAAAACCUGGUUCAAGCCAAUGAGUUCUCACGCAUAAGAACAUAAAGCAGUGGAAAAGUUAUUCUACUGAACAAAAACUUAAGAAAGUGCCGUGUUGGUGAGUUAGUAAAUUACAGACACUGACAACCAACAUAUGAUCAAGAAGUAGCUGAUAUCUUGCUUUGUCCUGAUUAUUGUUAAUUUAAGUUUAACUAUUAUUGUCAAAAAUAACAUUCUGUGUUUCUUUUCUGUCAAAACAAGUGACAGAAACAAUGGAGACAGAUCAAGUUGUGAUAAAAAUUUUAUGAUCUCUUACUUGAGUACUUUUCUUGCAAAAAUGAGCAACUUGAAUUGAUUUAUGUCAACAAUACUUCUAAAUAUACUGAUUGGUAAAGUUUUUAAUGCUUUGUCUAUACAGUUAAUACAAGCAUAAAAGCAACCCCCUUAUAUAAGAAACAGGCCUUGUUUUCUUCAAAAGGGGCUCACUUUUUAAGAAACAUUUCUAAGCCUGAAAUUAAAAUGUUUCAUAUUUUCAAGUAUAAACAGUUGUGUUAUUUAUUUUCUGUUUAUGCUCUAGGAUGGUUGUAGCGUGUGUAUUCUAUUGAUAUGAAAAAUUAUACUUUAGAUUAUGUAUUAUACACUACUACCAGAAAUAUUGAAUACACGUCCAUGGAAGGUACUGUCACAAAGCUUGACUUGAUUUGACCUGACAGUACCUAUUGAUAAGAAACUUAAACCCGUAUUCUGAAAAGUCUCUGAUAAUAAACAAACUUUGUGAGGCCUCAAGCAGUUUUCUUGCAUGUGGAUACUUACUGUAUACUCAUUUUUCGAUUUUAAUCAAACUUUGGAAAAUGGUGCAUCUAUCUUAAAAUAAAACUCCAGUUUUUUUACAGAUGUGUACAAAUUCAGAGUUUAGCAUCUUGAAUAUAAUAAUAAUAAUAAUAAUAAUAAUAAUAUAAAAAUAAAAAUGAUAAUAUAAUAACAAAAAUAAUAAUGAAAACAUUUUUUAUUUUAUAUUCUUCUACUUACAACAGUAACCUCACUUUACAGGUAGUUACUAUCGGCUAGCCUGGUGACAAGUUUACUAAUUUUACAAAAGUUAUAACAUUUAAAUAAAUCAUAUGAGUGCAAAGAAUCUUUAGAAGGAGAGCAGUUCAGGGUUUGUCCAA